UUUUUCCUUUCCGUUCCUGCUUACUGCAGAUGCGAAGGAAAAACUUGUGUACAAAGACUAGCGAUAAGAUAAAAACUUGAUUGAAAAAAGAA